rnacentral:rRNA from 1 species
CUGCAUCCAAAACUGUUAGUCUAGAGUGUGGGAGAGGAAGAUGGAAUUAGUUGUGUAGGGGUAAAAUCCGUAGAGAUAACUAGGAAUACCAAAAGCGAAGGCAAUCUUCUGGAACAGUACUGACGCUGAGGCGCGAAAGCGUGGGGAGCAAACAGGAUUAGAUACCCUGGUAGUCCACGCCCUAAACGAUGAAUGUUAGUCGUCGGGUAGCUAGUCUAUUCGGUGAUGCAGUUAACACAUUAAACAUUCCGCCUGGGGAGUACGGUCGCAAGAUUAAAACUCAAAGGAAUAGACGGGGACCCGCACAAGUGGUGGAGCAUGUGGUUUAAUUCGAAGAUACGCGAAGAACCUUACCUAGCCUUGACAUAUUUUAGAACACUUUAGAGAUAGAGUGGUGCCUUCGGGAGCUAAUAUACAGGUGCUGCACGGCUGUCGUCAGCUCGUGUCGUGAGAUGUUGGGUUAAGUCCCGCAACGAGCGCAACCCUCGUCACUAGUUACUAACGGUUCGGCCGAGGACUCUAGUGAGACUGCCUUCGCAAGGAGGAGGAAGGUGAGGACGACGUCAAGUCAUCAUGGCCCUUACGGCUAGGGCAACACACGUGCUACAAUGGCCAGGACAAUGAGAAGCAAUACCGCGAGGUGGAGCAAAUCUAUAAACCUGGUCUCAGUUCGGAUUGUUCUCUGCAACUCGAGAGCAUGAAGCUGGAAUCACUAGUAAUCGUAGAUCAGCUAUGCUACGGUGAAUACGUUCCCGGGUCUUGUACUCACCGCCCGUCACACCAUGGGAGUUGAUUUCACCCGAAGCGGGGGAGCUAAACUGGCUACCCUCCACGGUGGAGUCAGCGACUGGGGUG